AAAUGAAUAAUCCAAAUUAUUUUAAGCAGUUAUGAAAUCAAUUUUAAAUUGAAUACAUUUUCCCGCUCUUUUGUGUUUAUACAAUGUUGACAUAUAACUAUUAAAAAGAACAUAUAGUUUGGCGAAAGGCCCAUCGUAACCUUCAAAAGUAUUCAGUUCAGUACAGUCAAAAAUGGUAACAGAUAAGGUGCGAAUCGAUUUGCUCCUUUCUCGGCGAAGGUGUUGUAUCGUACGAUGUGUGCGCAUUUUGGUUUAAGCGGUUUAAAAGCGGUGAUUUUAGUCUAAUCGGCAAACAACGCCCUGGAGGCCCUCGGAAGCGCGACAACGAUGAUUUGGAACAACUGCUCGCUGAGAAUUCGGCACAAACGCAAAAAGAGCUUGCAGAACAGUUGGGAGUAACGCAGCCAUGGACGUAAGAAUAUAUGAACACCCCAAAAAAAAUGUUCUAUUCAUAAGCGGGAAAUCCUUUAAGCAUUUCCUCUAAGCAAAAAAAUCUUACAUGAAGCAUUUCUCACUUACUUUAACACAUAUCAUCUAUAAAAGAGUAGACUCAUAAGUUAGAAUUAAGAUUAAUUUUGUCCUGUAUCCUGUAUAGAAAAUUCCAUUACAGUAAUACGACUAGCCUCUUGAAAUAAGAGGAUACGCAAGAUAUUCGCGGACACGCGAGUCGCAGCACGUGCGCCAGCUUCUGAGUAGUUCACCGACCGCCGCUAGGCCGCGCAUGGUGGCGGCCAAAAACUCGGAAGCAAAAUUCAGUCUCGUAGAGUAUAAAAGGAGGCCCGCGAGAGUGAAUUCUGAUCAAUUCUGAUCCCGAGUUUUUGACCGUCACUAUACGCGGCCUAGCGGCGGUUGGUGAAUACUCAGAAGCUGGCGCCCGCGCGCGUGUCGCGUAGUGCCGGAUUGCCAAUUUGUGCCGGAUCGCGCGUUGCAACCGCCACAAAAAGAUUCCUCUAGCAAUUAAGAGGAUACUCGUUUUAAAAGAAAUAUAUAAAUACUAAAAAUAAGAAUAUUUGCAUAUUAGAAGAGGAAAAGAUUCCUCUAGCAUUAAGAGGAUUACCAGUUAAAAUUUCAUGCCUCAGUGUAAUAGGAUUUUCCUCUACAUUUUAGACUAUCAUCUUGAGGCCGUAUUUAAUAGUAAAAUCCUCUAACAUCAAGAGGGAACCACUCAAAAAUAGAAUACUUUUCUUUCAGUGAACGGAGUGUAAGUUAGCGGGGGCCGAGCCAGAGCAGUGAGGGGAAAAGUAGUCAUCACAUAUGGCGGCGACGCUACCAGCCUAUCACGAGGCGUCCUAUACAAUCACCUAGUCAUCACAUAUGGCCGCCACCACGGUUUUACGGUGGCCGCCACCUAAUUUCCCCUCACCGCGCUCGCUUGGGUCCCCUCGUCCUAAAUCCUACAUUACGCUCCGUCCAUAUAUUCUUACGUCCAUGAAUGCAGCAAACGAUUUCCAAACGCCUACAUGAGAUGGGAAAGAUCCAGAAAGAAGGAAAAUGGGUUCCGCAUUGUUAGAACCCCGCGAGAAGUAUCGAAAAGAUCUCUUGUAUUUAGGUCUAACAAUAAGUUGUAUUAGUCUAAGAGAGCACACGGCGCUCGCGUAUGUCACAGGCAUAAGCUUUUGAGUUUUUCCCCUCUUGAAUACAGCUUGCCUAUGUUCUUCUUCUCUCCCCCCCUUUUUGGCCUCGCGACACUCGCCGUGCCAGUGCGCUACUCGAUACACGUGUUCUCCUGUAUCCGCGGACAAGCGAUAGUUGCUUUCCGUACUAAUUUGUUAUACACGUAAUACAAGUACUUGUAUACUAAGUCGUGUGUAGUGCUUUCAACAGCCUAAAUCCCUGUCACGCAUGAACUCACUGAAACCAACAAAAAUCACCGAGUGGCAGCGUGUCUUUCUUUUCUCAAUAAGCAGCGUCGGAAGUCUUUCUUGUGGAAAAUCGUUAUGGGCGAUGAGAAAUGGAUACUCUAUGACAAUCCGAAACGCAGAAAGUCAUGGGUAAAUCCCGGCGAAUCAUCAAAAUCGGUUGCAAAACCCAAUCGCUUCGGAAAGAAGGUUCUUCUCUGCAUUUGGUGGGAUAUCGGGCGUGCUUUUCCACAUAGCACGUAAUAUUACAGAGAAACCUGAGAGCGGCCAUGCCGUAGGGUUUACUUGGGAUCGAUUUUCGCCACCAGUUGUGGAUGUAAGAACUACGGAGUCACAUCCACUUAUCGACACAGUCGAUAAAUAUAACUUUUUGGUGCGUAUCCGUGCUACAUCUACGUUUCGACAUUGUCGAUAAAUCACAUUUUGGUUCGUGUCCGUGCUACAUCCACUUAAUUUUUUUUUUAUAAAAGAAAAUUUAGAUAAUACCGACACUGCCGAUAAAUCUCUUUUUGGCGUAUUUGGCGUGCUAUAUCCACAAUUUAUGGAUGUUAAGAAUUUACAAUAAAAUCAUGUGUGUACACGUUAUGGAAUUUGCAAUAAAAUUUGUAUACAUACAUUAUGUAUCUCUAUUCUAAUGUACGUUGUACACCAAAUAUAC